CAAAGCGGCCCACUUCAUUGCCUUGUCGAAAUUUCUAACAGCCAAGGGAACGGCUGAUUAUAUUACUCACCAUGUGUUCAGGCUCCAUGGGAUUCUCUUGGACAAAAUUCACAACUCAAGUUUGACAUUCCUUCUUUGCAGAGCUGGGCACAACUCUCAAUUUCACUUCUGGCUUUUAACCCCCAGACAAAUGGACAGACUGCACGGGCAAACAAAGAUCUGGACACCGGAUUGCGCUGUGUCGUUUCCUCCAAUCCCUCUACCUGGAACACCUUCCCUGGAUUGAAUAUUCCCACAACUCUUUGGUGUGCUGGUCUUCAUCAGACCCAUCGGGACAGUCAUCGCGUCCGUCACAGAAUCGAUCGAUCAGAACGCAGCCUGAGCCGUCAGAGCAGGUCAUGUGACCCUCCGGGCAGGAAGCUGACAGACAGAGCAGAUAUUAAAAGAUGAUUCCAUGUGUGAACCAGAGUGGCCGUGACAGUGUGAUGUUCCAUGCCAUGAUGUUCCAGCUUUUUACCACCUAAAGACAUUGUAAAAAUCAAAGGUAAACUGUCAAAACCAGAC
ensembl:lncRNA